rnacentral:lncRNA from 1 species
CACUGGUCAAAAAAAAUAUUUUUGUGGCGCCUCUAUAUUAAAAUUUAUUGUUACAUUUACUAGGAAUGGUAUGCUGGAUGUGUUUUAAAAGAGGGCAUACAAAAAUUGUGUGCCCAAAUAGAGCAAAAACCCACUCAGACAGUUGUUCAAGAACAACAUAAUUGGCACAAUUGCCAUGAUAAUUCACUAAGUAACUUUGUGUAUGUUAUAAUGUGUGAGUGUUGUGUGUUAAUUUUAAUUUAUUUAUUAGGCCAUUAAUAAAUAUUCUUGGUUUGAAAAAUAUUUUAGGGGGGGGAUGUCCCCACUGCUGGUGCCACCACUGGAAAUAUCAGCUAAUUAUAGCCAGCAUAGCUUCAAUAAAAUAUAUUGAAGUAAAUAUGACAUCAAAUACUCUUUUAUUAAAAGCGAUAGCUAUGUGCGUGUUUCACUUGUAUAAUUUGGGACAACCCGAAAAUACCCUUAUGGAAUUAACAAAAUAAAACAUGGGUAUGAGACCAAGAAUACUUAUUGAU